rnacentral:rRNA from 1 species
AUUGAACGCUGGCGGCAUGCCUUACACAUGCAAGUCGAACGGCAGCGGGGACUUCGGUCCGCCGGCGAGUGGCGAACGGGUGAGUAAUAUAUCGGAACGUACCUUUCAGUGGGGGAUAACGUAGCGAAAGUUACGCUAAUACCGCAUAUUCUGUGAGCAGGAAAGCAGGGGAUCGCAAGACCUUGCGCUGAUUGAGCGGCCGAUAUCAGAUUAGCUAGUUGGUGAGGUAAAGGCUCACCAAGGCGACGAUCUGUAGCGGGUCUGAGAGGAUGAUCCGCCACGCUGGAACUGAGACACGGUCCAGACUCCUACGGGAGGCAGCAGUGGGGAAUUUUGGACAAUGGGGGCAACCCUGAUCCAGCCAUGCCGCGUGAGUGAAGAAGGCCUUCGGGUUGUAAAGCUCUUUCGGCCGGGAAGAAAUCGCAUUGGUUAAUACCCAGUGUGGAUGACGGUACCGGAAUAAGAAGCACCGGCUAACUACGUGCCAGCAGCCGCGGUAAUACGUAGGGUGCGAGCGUUAAUCGGAAUUACUGGGCGUAAAGCGUGCGCAGGCGGUUUUGUAAGACAGGCGUGAAAUCCCCGGGCUCAACCUGGGAACUGCAUUUGAGACUGCAAAGCUAGAGUGUGGCAGAGGGGGGUGGAAUUCCACGUGUAGCAGUGAAAUGCGUAGAGACGUGGAGGAACACCGAUGGCGAAGGCAGCCCCCUGGGCCAAUACUGACGCUCAUGCACGAAAGCGUGGGGAGCAAACAGGAUUAGAUACCCUGGUAGUCCACGCCCUAAACGAUGUCAACUAGGUGUUGGAAGGGUUAAACCUUUUAGUGCCGUAGCUAACGCGUGAAGUUGACCGCCUGGGGAGUACGGCCGCAAGGCUAAAACUCAAAGGAAUUGACGGGGACCCGCACAAGCGGUGGAUGAUGUGGAUUAAUUCGAUGCAACGCGAAAAACCUUACCUACCCUUGACAUGUCAGGAAUCCCGGAGAGAUUUGGGAGUGCUCGAAAGAGAGCCUGAACGCAGGUGCUGCAUGGCUGUCGUCAGCUCGUGUCGUGAGAUG